GUGUUGCAUGAAAGCAGAGAGCGUUAGCACUGCCCUUGACAAGCAUGGAAGAGGCCCUCGAGCCUGACAAUGGGCAUCUGACCAUGGUUUUGU
ensembl:snRNA